rnacentral:rRNA from 1 species
CCUACGGGAGGCAGCAGUGGGGAAUAUUGCACAAUGGGGGAAACCCUGAUGCAGCGACGCCGCGUGAGUGAAGAAGUAUUUCGGUAUGUAAAGCUCUAUCAGCAGGGAAGAAAAUGACGGUACCUGAUUAAGAAGCCCCGGCUAACUACAUGCCAGCAGCCGCGGUAAUACGUAGGGGGCAAGCGUUAUCCGGAUUUACUGGGUGUAAAGGGAGCGUAGACGGCAGCACAAGUCUGGAGUGAAAUGCCGGGGCUUAACCCCGGAACUGCUUUGGAAACUGUGCAGCUAGAGUGGAGGAGAGGUAAGUGGAAUUCCUAGUGUAGCGGUGAAAUGCGUAGAUAUUAGGCAGAACACCAGUGGCGAAGGCAGCUUACUGGACUGUAACUGACGUUGAGGCUCGAAAGCGUGGGGAGCAAACAGGAUUAGAUACCCCAGUAGUC